rnacentral:rRNA from 1 species
AGAGUUUGAUCCUGGCUCAGAGCGAACGCUGGCGGCAGGCUUAACACAUGCAAGUCGAACGGGCAUCUUCGGGUGUCAGUGGCAGACGGGUGAGUAACACGUGGGAACGUACCCUUCGGUUCGGAAUAACUCAGGGAAACUUGAGCUAAUACCGGAUACGCCCUUUUGGGGAAAGGUUUACUGCCGAAGGAUCGGCCCGCGUCUGAUUAGCUUGUUGGUGGGGUAACGGCCUACCAAGGCGACGAUCAGUAGCUGGUCUGAGAGGAUGAUCAGCCACACUGGGACUGAGACACGGCCCAGACUCCUACGGGAGGCAGCAGUGGGGAAUAUUGGAUAAUGGGCGCAAGCCUGAUCCAGCCAUGCCGCGUGAGUGAUGAAGGCCUUAGGGUUGUAAAGCUCUUUUGUCCGGGACGACAAUGACGGUACCGGAAGAAUAAGCCCCGGCUAACUUCGUG